CAUAAAUUUCGGUAUUAUCUCCUCCAAAGCCGCUAGCCAAAAAUUUAUAUUGCCGUCAUUCGUCACCGUCUUUGUUCCGCUGAACUUGUUGCGACCACCACCUAGCGGCCACCGUUUUCAUCUAGGAUUGUCCCGGUUCCGGUUCGAUCUCUUCCGAUAAGAAGAUUUCGUUGAGCACGUCGGUGGACCUUUAACUUGAGACUUUAGAUGUUCUAGACACUCGUUCAGGUAAUUUGGGAAUCGUGGGGAAUAAGUGAAGAGUGUCGUGAAGAUAAAGAUUUAUUUUUAUAUUCGGUAAUGUAAUGAAAAAGAAAUUAGGGUCUUUUGUUUACAACGUCAUGGAUUGGUUUUAGUUUUGA